rnacentral:rRNA from 1 species
UGAGGAAUAUUGGUCAAUGGGCGAGAGCCUGAACCAGCCAAGUAGCGUGCAGGAUGACGGCCCUAUGGGUUGUAAACUGCUUUUAUGUGGGGAUAAAGUGCGUGACGUGUCAUGCAUUGCAGGUACCACAUGAAUAAGGACCGGCUAAUUCCGUGCCAGCAGCCGCGGUAAUACGGAAGGUCCGGGCGUUAUCCGGAUUUAUUGGGUUUAAAGGGAGCGUAGGCUGUCUAUUAAGCGUGUUGUGAAAUAUACCGGCUCAACCGGUGGCUUGCAGCGCGAACUGGUCGACUUGAGUAUGCAGGAAGUAGGCGGAAUUCAUGGUGUAGCGGUGAAAUGCUUAGAUAUCAUGACGAACUCCGAUUGCGCAGGCAGCUUACUGUAGCAUAACUGACGCUGAUGCUCGAAAGGGCGGGUAUCAAACAGG